AGUGUGUGUGUGUAUGUGUACAGUAUGGGUGUGAGUGUAUGUGUAUGUGUACAGUAUGGGUGUCAGUGUAUGUGUAUGUGUACAGUAUGGGUGUCGGUGUGUGUGUAUGUGUACAGUAUGGGUGUCAGUGUGUGUGUGUAUGUGUACAGUAUGGGUGUGAGUGUAUGUGUAUGUGUACAGUAUGGGUGUCAGUGUGUGUGUAUGUGUAAAGUAUAGGUGUCAGUGUGUGUGUGUGUGUGUGUGUGUGUGUGUGUGUGUGUGUGUGUGUGUGUGUGUGUGUGUGUGUGUGUGUGUUAGUGUGUACAGUAUGGGUGUCAGUGUAUGUGUAUGUGUACAGUAUGGGUGUCAGUGUGUGUGUGUAUGUAUACAGUAUGGGUGUCAGUGUGUGUGUAUGUGUACAUUAUGGGUGUCAGUGUAUGUGUAUGUGUACAGUAUGGGUGUCAGUGUGUGUGUAUGUGUACAGAAUGGGUGUCAGUGUGUGUGUAUGUGUACAGUAUGGGUGUCAGUGUGUGUGUGUAUGUGUACAGUAUGGGUGUGAGUGUAUGUGUAUGUGUACAGUAUGGGUGUCAGUGUGUGUGUGUAUGUAUACAGUAUGGGUGUCAGUGUGUGUGUAUGUGUACAGUAUGGGUGUCAGUGUAUGUGUAUGUGUACAGUAUGGGAGUCAGUGUGUGUGUAUGUGUACAGAAUGGGUGUCAGUGUGUGUGUAUGUGUACAGUAUGGGUGUCAGUGUGUGUGUGUAUGUGUACAGUAUGGGUGUGAGUGUAUGUUUAUGUGUACAGUAUGGGUGUCAGUGUGUGUGUGUAUGUAUACAGUAUGGGUGUCAGUGUAUGUGUAUGUGUACAGUAUGGGUGUCAGUGUGUGUGUAUGUGUACAGUAUGGGUGUCAGUGUGUGUGUGUAUGUGUACAGUAUAGGUGUGAGUGUAUGUGUAUGUGUACAGUAUGGGUGUCAGUGUGUGUGUGUGUGUGUGUGUAUGUGUACAGUAUGGGUGUCAGUGUGUGUGUAUGUGGACAGUAUGGGUGUCAGUGUGUGUGUGUAUGUGUACAGUAUGGGUGUCAGUGUGUGUGUAUGUGUACAGUAUUGGUGUCAGUGUGUGUGUGUGUAUGUGUACAGUAUGGGUGUCAGUGUGUGUGUGUGUAUGUAUACAGUAUGGGUGUGAGUGUAUGUGUAUGUGUACAGUAUGGGUGUCAGUGUGUGUGUGUAUGUAUACAGUAUGGGUGUCAGUGUGUGUGUAUGUGUACAGUAUGGGUGUCAGUGUAUGUGUAUGUGUACAGUAUGGGUGUCAGUGUGUGUGUAUGUGUACAGUAUGGGUGUCAGUGUGUGUGUGUAUGUGUACAGUAUGGGUGUGAGUGUAUGUUUAUGUGUACAGUAUGGGUGUCAGUGUGUGUGUGUAUGUAUACAGUAUGGGUGUCAGUGUAUGUGUAUGUGUACAGUAUGGGUGUCAGUGUGUGUGUAUGUGUACAGUAUGGGUGUCAGUGUGUGUGUGUAUGUGUACAGUAUAGGUGUGAGUGUAUGUGUAUGUGUACAGUAUGGGUGUCAGUGUGUGUGUGUGUGUUUAUGUGUACAGUAUGGGUGUCAGUGUGUGUCUAUGUGGACAGUAUGGGUGUCAGUGUGUGUGUGUAUGUGUACAGUAUGGGUGUCAGUGUGUGUGUAUGUGUACAGUAUGGGUGUCAGUGUGUGUGUGUGUAUGUAUACAGUAUGGGUGUGAGUGUAUUUGUAUGUGUACAGUAUGGGUGUCAGUGUGUGUGUGUAUGUAUACAGUAUGGGUGUCAGUGUAUGUGUAUGUGUACAGUAUGGGUGUCAGUGUGUGUGUAUGUGUACAGUAUGGGUGUCAGUGUGUGUGUGUAUGUGUACAGUAUAGGUGUGAGUGUAUGUGUAUGUGUACAGUAUGGGUGUCAGUGUGUGUGUAUGUGUACAGUAUGGGUGUCAGUGUGUGUGUAUGUGUACAGUAUGGGUGUCAGUGUGUGUCUGU
rnacentral:lncRNA from 1 species